AUGAAGGAUGCAGUGGCCAUGGAGGCCACCAGGAGACGUACCCAGCACCGGGCCAAUGGGAAAGCAUCUGAACGGGGGGAGCAGCUAGCAUCGUGGGGGAGAGCAUGGGAGGUGGACUGGUUUUCCUUGAGCAGUGUGAUUGGUCUCCUAUGCUUUGCCCCUUUUAUUGUCUUCUACUUCGUGAUGGCCUGUGAUCAGUAUCAGUGCUCCAUCAGCCAGCCUCUGCUGGAGUUGUACCAAGGAGAGACCACGCUGCUCUCCAUCUGGGCCCGGGCACCCUCCUUCACAUGGUCAGCUGCCAAGAUAUAUGCCAUCUGGGUGGCCUUCCAGGUGUUCCUGUACAUGUGUGUUCCUGAUGUGACUCAUAAGUUUAUUCCCGGCUAUGUUGGUGGAGUGCAAGAUGGAGCACGAACUCCUGCUGGCCUGAUCAACAAGUAUGAGGUCAAUGGGCUGCAGUGUUGGCUCAUCACUCAUGCACUGUGGUAUGCCAAUGCCCAGUAUUUCCACUGGUUUUCUCCCACCAUCAUCUUCGACAACUGGAUCCCCCUGAUGUGGUGUGCUAACAUACUGGGCUACGCUGUGUCCACCUUCGCUUUCAUAAAGGCCUACCUUUUCCCCACUAACUCUGAGGACUGCAAGUUCACAGGGAACAUCUUCUACAACUACAUGAUGGGCAUCGAGUUCAACCCACGCAUUGGCAAGUGGUUUGACUUCAAGCUUUUUUUCAACGGUCGGCCCGGCAUCGUAGCCUGGACUCUUAUCAAUCUGUCCUACAUGGCCAAGCAGCAAGAACUGUACGGCCACAUCACCAACUCCAUGAUCCUGGUCAACGUACUGCAGGGCAUUUAUGUGUUGGAUUUCUUCUGGAAUGAGGCGUGGUACCUGAAGACCAUUGAUAUCUGCCAUGACCACUUUGGAUGGUAUCUGGGCUGGGGAGACUGUGUGUGGCUGCCAUACCUCUACACACUGCAGGGUCUGUACCUGGUGUACCAGCCAGUCCAGCUCUCCAACGCCCACGCCCUGGCUGUCCUGUUGCUCGGCCUGGUCGGGUAUUACAUCUUCCGCUCCACCAACCACCAGAAGGACCUGUUCCGGCGCACCGAGGGCUCCUGCUCCAUCUGGGGCCGGAAGCCGGCGUACAUCGAGUGCUCGUACCGCUCCACAGACGGGGGCGUUCAUCGCAGCAAGCUCAUGACCUCCGGGUUCUGGGGAGUGGCCCGCCACUUCAACUACACCGGCGACCUGAUGGGUUCGCUGGCCUACUGCGCCGCCUGUGGCUUUGGCCACGUACUCCCAUACUUCUACAUAGUGUACAUGACCAUCCUGCUGGUCCACCGCUGUGUGCGCGACGAGCACCGCUGCAGCAGCAAGUACGGAAAGGACUGGAAGCGCUACACAGACGCUGUGCCUUACCGACUUAUCCCUAGGGUGUUUUAGAGAGGCGGAAAGCAGCGGGUGGAGGGAGAUAGAGAAAUAGGUUGGGGGCUAAGAUUAAGGAAGAUACAGAAAUUGUGGGGGGGGGUUAUACAGAAUCCCACUAAUUUUAACACAACGGUUCAUACAUUGUGAAAUGAAUACGUAUGUUUGAUACAUGUAUUGCCAGCUAAAUGUGUGUAUAUGCAGACACUAUAUAUCACUACCUCGUUAAAAGCAGUUUGAUAGACCAGCCUGAUGCUUUUGGUAUACUGUUUAAUAACCAUACAAUAUGUAUUCGAAGACCAAGCAAAUCAUCAAACCAGCUGAAGAAACAGUCAGUUCUGUAGUGGGCUGUUGUCUACCGCUAUUCUCAACAAUCCUGUCACAUUCCCAUAAUGCAGUUUGAUAAACAUGAGAAUUUGAUGUUUUAUAUCAUAAAUGUAACACCUCUACAGACAAAAUAAUACUUUGAUGAUGUCACUUAGCACAGGUCGCCUAUGAUGGGGGCUUUUCAUCAUCCUUGGCAUUUUAGACUUCAUAAGUAAUUAGGAAUGAAAAAAACAGAUAUAUUUAAUGAUCAAUAUUGACUAUAAUAUUUUUCUGCCACUGGCUUAAUGGACCAAAUGUGAUUGUCGGCUCCACUGACAAGACCCAUAAAAGGUGAUGUUGUCUUUGUUUAAAGGUUGUCUGAGUGCUCCGAUGUAUUCACUGUCAUUUUCAUAUCCAACUGCUGCGGAACGUUUGUUAGGUUAGGUUAUUGCUUGUUCCUUGUUUCCUUGAUCCUUGUUUUUAUUUCCUUAAGCCAGCACUGCCUUUAGUAGUGCGAUAAAGUAACAAAACACACUUUAACGUCUCUUA